CAAUAACAAAAUUCCUCCUCACUAUCUCAUCAAAGCAUUUUCCCAGUUUAGAAAUCAAUGGCCGGAAAAAGUAAGAUUCUGUUCAUCGGAGGUACUGGCUACAUCGGAAAGUUCAUCGUCGAAGCUAGUGCUAAAGCUGGUCACCACACAUUUGUCAUGGUUAGAGAAUCCACUCUUUCCAAUCCUAUCAAAACCAAACUCAUCGAUACUUUCAAGAGUUUCGGUGUCACCUUUCUCCAUGGAGAUUUAUAUGAUCAUGAGAGUUUGGUGAAGGCAAUAAAGCAAGUGGAUGUUGUGAUUUCUACUGUAGGUCAUGCCCUUUUAGCUGAUCAGGUCAAGAUCAUUGCUGCUAUCAAGGAAGCUGGCAAUGUCAAGAGAUUCUUUCCCUCUGAAUUUGGGACCGAUGUAGAUCGUGUCCAUGCUGUUGAGCCUGCUAAAACAGCAUUUAAUACUAAAGCUCAAAUUCGCCGCGCUGUUGAGGCUGAAGGAAUAUCCUUCACUUAUGUGGCCAACUUCUUUUUUGCUGGUUAUUUCCUUCCAAAUUUGGCACAGCCUGGAGCUGCAGGUCCUCCCAAAGACAAAGUUGUCAUCUUAGGAGAUGGAAGUACUAAAGCUGUUUUUAACAAGGAAGAAGACAUUGGUACCUAUACCAUAAAGGCUGUGGAUGAUCCCAAAACACUUAACAAAAUCCUCUACAUCAUGCCUCCACACAAUAUAAUUACUUUAAACGAGUUGGUAUCUUUGUGGGAGAAGAAAACUGGAGAGAACCUUGAAAGAAUAUAUGCACCAGAGGAACAAGUUCUCAAGAACAUACAAGAAGCCUCGUUUCCAUUGAAUGUGGUAUUAUCGAUCUCUCACACUGCUUUUGUGAAGGGUGACCACACUAAUUUUGAAAUUGACCCAUCAUUUGGAGUAGAGGCAUCAGAGGUUUAUCCUGAUGUUAAAUAUACCCCGGUAGAUGAGAUUCUCCACCAAUAUGUGUGAAUCUUUAGAGUUCCUUCCUAUUAAGCAUAAGGAACCGACGUCGCACCUCGACUUCCUCCACGUGGCUAAUUCGAGUUAGUUAAAGAUUACUUGUGAGACAGGUACUAGAGAUCAUCAACCGGCACACCGUUGAAGAUCCACACACUCCCAGCUAGUUGGUGAGUCCUCCUAGUUUCCAGAGGAUGCUGAGAUUUCCUGUAUAGUUUUGUAUUGUUUUCUCUAUUUUGAUUGUUGGUAGUCAUGGUCGUGUCAUUGGCACCUCCUAGAUUGUUGAUAGAGGCUUCAUAGACCGGAGCGUAGAAAUAUUGGAUUGUUCUUUUGAGUAGUUUUUCUAUAACUGUUUGUUGAUUUGAUAGUUAUUCGGCCUUUGGCCCUAAAUUAUGAAUAGUAUUUCAUUGAUUGA